CACCCUCUCUAAGAGAGAGGGGGGAGAGAGAAAGAAAGAGGGAGGGGGGAAGUAGGGAGAGUGAAAGUGGAGAGGCAGGCAGGCAGACGUGUUGCAACAGAUGGCUUUACCAGUAGCGGCUCGGUGGCGGCUGUACCAAGGAACUCUGGGACGCUGUUAGACCCAGAACAGAGGUAGAGAAAAGGGAGGGAGGGGUGUAAGUCACAGCGCUGGAACAGAGCAAGAAAAAGAGACCGAGUGAGACUUCUUCUUCCUCCCCCUUCAGGCUACAAACUCACUGUCUUCCUCUGCAGACAGACAGGAAGACAGUGUCAGUGUGAGCACAAGUUUAGUAGCUGAAAGGAGCAACAGUUUUAUGGAGGAGAUGAAUGUGUGAUCUGAGCCUUCAUCCUCUUCCUCCUCUUCCUCCUCAUGCUCCUGCUCCGGGGUCACAGAGGAAAACACCUGCUGACAGCGAGGAGGUCCUGAGGGAGGAGACGCAGCAGGAGGACUGAACACAGCAGGAGACUCGACUCAGCAGGUUCCAGCUGAGCUGAAUACAUUGUGUCAAAGUCCACUCCAGAGUGUCUGCACAAG